rnacentral:rRNA from 1 species
CCGCGGGAUUAGAGUUUGAUCCUGGCUCAGAAUGAACGCUGGCGGCGUGCUUAACACAUGCAAGUCGUGCGCGAAGGUGGCUUCGGCUGCCGGAGAGCGGCGAACGGGUGAGUAACACGUGGGUAAUCUGCCUGGGAGCGGGGGAUAACCUGGGGAAACUCGGGCUAAUACCGCAUACGUUGGUUGGGUUUCGGCCUGACCAGGAAAGCUGGCCUCUAUUUAUAAGCUAGCUCUCCCAGAGGAGCCCGCGGCUGAUUAGCUAGUUGGUGAGGUAAUGGCUCACCAAGGCGACGAUCAGUAGCCGGCCUGAGAGGGUGAUCGGCCACACUGGGACUGAGACACGGCCCAGACUCCUACGGGAGGCAGCAGUGGGGAAUAUUGGACAAUGGGCGCAAGCCUGAUCCAGCAACGCCGCGUGGAGGAUGAAGGUCUUCGGAUCGUAAACUCCUGUCAGGCGGGACGAAGGUUCGUCGGCAAACAGCUGGCGAGCUUGACGGUACCGCCAGAGGAAGCCCCGGCUAACUCCGUGCCAGCAGCCGCGGUAAUACGGAGGGGGCGAGCGUUAUUCGGAAUUAUUGGGCGUAAAGGGCGCGUAGGCGGCGCGAUAAGUCAAAGGUGAAAUCCCUCGGCUCAACUGAGGAACUGCCUUUGAGACUGUCGGGCUCGAGGCCGGGAGGGGGUAGCGGAAUUCCCAGUGUAGCGGUGAAAUGCGUAGAUAUUGGGAGGAACACCAGUGGCGAAGGCGGCUACCUGGACCGGUUCUGACGCUGAUGCGCGAAAGCGUGGGUAGCA